rnacentral:rRNA from 1 species
CAAUAGCGUAUAUUUAAGUUGUUGCAGUUAAAAAGCUCGUAGUUGGAUUUCGGAUGGGAUUUGCCGGUCCGUCGUUACGAUGUGCACUGGCCAGUCCUAUCAUGUUGUCGGGGACUAGCUCCUUGGAUUCACUUCCUGGGACUAGGAGCUGACGAGGUUACUUUGAGUAAAUUAGAGUGUUCAAAGCAAGCCUACGCUCUGAAUACAUUAGCAUGGAAUAACACGAUAGGACUCUGGCUUAUCUUGUUGGUCUGUGAGACCAGAGUAAUGAUUAAGAGGGACAGUCGGGGACAUUCGUAUUUCAUUGUCAGAGGUGAAAUUCUUGGAUUUAUGAAAGACGAACUUCUGCGAAAGCAUUUGUCAAGGAUGUUUUCAUUAA